ensembl:lncRNA
GUUUUCCUCCAGGCAUGAUAUACCUGUGUGGUUGUUCAGCAGUACCGGUGCUGGUGAAGGAACUGUGAAUUUGGGGCAGAAGGUCCCAGAGGGCUGAUCACACAGGUCCAUUUCCACAGUUAGCACACCAAACUGAAACGCAUAGGCUCUCAGUUACGGGCACGGCACAGCGAUUUGCCAGUAUGUCUGCUGAGCAGCUGGAGCUGGCAUCAGCUGCCAAGGGCCUUGGUGGAGUUUGUUUUCAUGUGGGAGAACUGUGAGCUUCCUGGUGAGCAGGAGCAGGCAGAAGUGAAGGAAGAGGAGAAGAUGAAAAUAUGCCAAAGAAAGAAGUGUCUUAACAUGUUCCCCCCAAAGAACAGUGUAAGUAUUUUCUUCACCAGAACACUCACUACCUCAGUCAGCUGUCUACUGAUGGGCAUACCUUCCUGUGUGCUAAAGAGAAAGGGAGAGGUAUCUGUUUUUUUUUCUGUUUUUAUCUGCUUGGAAUAUGUUUAGAAGUUGUGGGUACUUUGGUGAAGGAAAGCAAAAGUACUCUGGGUAAUUGAAGCAGAAUUGACUCAAAUUUCAAGCUGUUAGUGUUCUGAACAGAUUGUUAUCUGUUCGAGAAUGAAAUUAAGUUACUGAUGAACAAUCCUUUUCAUUAAGCCUCAACUAAGUUUUCUUCUGAAAGGUAUUCAUAAUGAAAAAGAAUACUGAAAGAGUCUAAAUGCGGUGAUAGCUUAUUCACCAAACUGACAGAUGCGGGUUAUUAAUUAAUGUAUCUUUCGUAAGUUAUUUGUAUUGCCACUAAGCAAUUUCUGCAGGUUUAAAUUCAGAACAAAUGUUUGUUUGCCAGAACUGUCCCAAGCAUUUUGCCAAUGAAAGGCUGCUGUGUCCCCACGUGAGGGGACGUGGUAAGUGAGAGCUUUUUAAAAUAAAUCAUGGUUUUCUCAAGCUCACCUUACGCAGGAGAGCUUUUGUAUUGUUAUAUCAAGUAGGAAAAUUAAUAGACAGAACUAGGGCAACUGAGUUACAAACAGUGGAAAGUAAGAAUUUCACUGCCAGUCCCUCUGAAGCAUAGGAGCUCCCUUCUCCGUGCUUUCUGAUCAAGAAGC